UUUCCGUAGGUGAACCUGCGGAAGGAUCAUUACAGAGUUCAUGCCCUCACGGGUAGAUCUCCCACCCUUGAAUAUUUAUACCUUAGUUGCUUUGGCAAGCCGUGGAAACACCAUGGGCUCCGGCUUAUGCGUGCCUGCCAGAGGAAACAAACUCUGUUUUUAGUGAUGUCUGAGUACUAUAUAAUAGUUAAAACUUUCAACAACGGAUCUCUUGGUUCUG
rnacentral:misc_RNA from 1 species